rnacentral:rRNA from 1 species
AACGCGAAGAACCUUACCAAGGUUUGACAUGGCCGGAAAAGCCGCAGAGAUGUGGUGUCCUUCGGGGUCGGUCACAGGUGGUGCAUGGCUGUCGUCAGCUCGUGUCGUGAGAUGUUGGGUUAAGUCCCGCAACGAGCGCAACCCUUGUCCUGUGUUGCCAUACCGAAAGGUGGAACUCGCAGGAGACCGCCAGGGAUAACCUGGAGGAAGGUGGGGAUGACGUCAAGUCCUCAUGGCCUUUAUGUCCAGGGCUACACACGUGCUACAAUGGACGGUACAAAGGGCUGCCAACCCGCGAGGGGGAGCCAAUCCCAAAAAACCGUUCUCAGUUCGGAUUGCAGGCUGCAACUCGCCUGCAUGAAGCUGGAAUCGCUAGUAAUGGCGGAUCAGAACGCCGCCGUGAAUACGUUCCCGGGCCUUGUACACACCGCUAGUC